rnacentral:lncRNA from 1 species
AAGAAAGGUACACUAGUUUGAUGUGAGAAAAAUGGUUAAAAGUAUAAAAGACAGGUCAUUGAGAUUAUCUUUCAACCUACUGCCUAGGGCAUGUAUGUCAGAACUUAGGUAAUUACUAAAUGAAACCAUAAACAAAUAAAAAUUCAAGAUGAUAAACCUAACCACCAAAGACACUUCUGCAUGGUGGAGUGUUAUCAAUAGAUGAGGAGGGUGAAGGGGCAGGAGAUAUGUGUCCUGUUUGCUGCCCCAUCCUGACCAACAUGGGCCAUUUUCUUCCUCCCCAGGGGCAAAGGAACCAGCAGAGUCUUGGAGGGCCCCCCCUGUCAGCCAGGAUGAUGUUUGUGAGAAUGCAAUGGCAGAAUGGCUGUGACAAACUCAGGUUGCCUGAUGGCAUGAGACUCAGCCUGCCUGCACCUGGGUGAUUAAAAGGUUUGUUGCUCACACAAAGCCUGUUUGGUGGUCUCUUCACACGGACAUGCAUGAAAUUCGGUGCCGUGACUCGGAUCAGGGGACCUGCCUUGGGAGAUCAAUCCUCUGUCCUCCUGUUCUUUGCUCCGUGAGAAAGAUCCACCUACGACCUCAGGUCGUCAGACUGACCAGACCAAGAAACAUCUCACCAAUUUCAAAUCCGG